UACGGAGGGUGCGAGCGUUAAUCGGAAUUACUGGGCGUAAAGCGCACGCAGGCGGUUUGUUAAGCUAGAUGUGAAAGCCCCGGGCUCAACCUGGGAUGGUCAUUUAGAACUGGCAGACUAGAGUCUUGGAGAGGGGAGUGGAAUUCCAGGUGUAGCGGUGAAAUGCGUAGAUAUCUGGAGGAACAUCAGUGGCGAAGGCGACUCCUGGCCAAAGACUGACGCUCAUGUGCGAAAGUGUGGGUAGCGAACAGG
rnacentral:rRNA from 1 species